rnacentral:rRNA from 1 species
AACGAACGCUGGCGGCAGGCUUAACACAUGCAAGUCGACCGCAUCGCAAGAUGAGUGGCAGAUGGGUGAGUAACGCGUGGGAACAUACCCUUUUCUACGGAAUAGCUCUGGGAAACCGGAAUUAAUACCGUAUACGCCCUACGGGGGAAAGAUUUAUCGGGGAAGGAUUGGCCCGCGUUGGAUUAGCUAGUUGGUGGGGUAAAGGCCUACCAAGGCGACGAUCCAUAGCUGGUCUGAGAGGAUGAUCAGCCACAUUGGGACUGAGACACGGCCCAAACUCCUACGGGAGGCAGCAGUGGGGAAUAUUGGACAAUGGGCGCAAGCCUGAUCCAGCCAUGCCGCGUGAGUGAUGAAGGCCUUAGGGUUGUAAAGCUCUUUCACCGAUGAAGAUAAUGACGGUAGUCGGAGAAGAAGCCCCGGCUAACUUCGUGCCAGCCGCCGCGGUAAUAC